GCUGUGUUGUUUGGGGGGAGUGAUGUGCUGAUGCCCGUGUCCAACAGAAUAAAAAGCUCUUCAAGUCAUAUCGUCAUGUUGACGCUGUUGUGUGACGUCGGCCAUCGGCAACCUGUAGACACGGAGCAUCACAGCUGACUAGAAAACCCUGUGGAUUACAAUAUUAGGGCAAAUAAUCCCUUAUGGAAAAGUGCAAAGGGAUUUACAGAACCUCUGAGCAAAGCAGCAAAAUAACUGGAGACAUGAUG